rnacentral:rRNA from 1 species
GACGAACGCUGGCGGCGUGCUUAACACAUGCAAGUCGAACGGAAAGGCCCUGCUUUUGUGGGGUGCUCGAGUGGCGAACGGGUGAGUAACACGUGAGUAACCUGCCCUUGACUUUGGGAUAACUUCAGGAAACUGGGGCUAAUACCGGAUAGGAGCUCCUGCUGCAUGGUGGGGGUUGGAAAGUUUCGGCGGUUGGGGAUGGACUCGCGGCUUAUCAGCUUGUUGGUGGGGUAGUGGCUUACCAAGGCUUUGACGGGUAGCCGGCCUGAGAGGGUGACCGGCCACAUUGGGACUGAGGUACGGCCCAGACUCCUACGGGAGGCAGCAGUGGGGAAUAUUGCACAAUGGGCGGAAGCCGGAUGCAGCAACGCCGCGUGCGGGAUGACGGCCUUCGGGUUGUAAACCGCUUUCGCCUGUGACGAAGCGUGAGUGACGGAAAUGGGUAAAGAAGCACCGGCUAACUACGU